rnacentral:rRNA from 1 species
GAUGAACGCUGGCGGCGUGCCUAAUACAUGCAAGUCGAGCGAACGGACGAGAAGCUUGCUUCUCUGAUGUUAGCGGCGGACGGGUGAGUAACACGUGGAUAACCUACCUAUAAGACUGGGAUAACUUCGGGAAACCGGAGCUAAUACCGGAUAAUAUUUUGAACCGCAUGGUUCAAAAGUGAAAGACGGUCUUGCUGUCACUUAUAGAUGGAUCCGCGCUGCAUUAGCUAGUUGGUAAGGUAACGGCUUACCAAGGCAACGAUGCAUAGCCGACCUGAGAGGCUGGUGGGCCAACGGGGAACUGGACACCGGGCCAAACCCCAAAGGGGGGCGGAGGGAGGAAAUUUUCGGAAAAGGGCAAAAGCCGGCCGGGGCAACGCCGGAGGGGUGAAGAAGGUCUUGGAAUCGUAAAACUUUGUUAUUAGGGAAGAACUUAUGUGUAAGUAACUGUGCAAAUCUUGAGGGUACCUAUUAAGAAAGCCCCGGCAAACACGGU